rnacentral:rRNA from 1 species
UACAGAGGUCUCAAGCGUUGUUCGGAUUCAUUGGGCGUAAAGGGUGCGUAGGCGGCGCGGUAAGUCGGGUGUGAAAUCUCGGGGCUUAACUCCGAAACUGCAUUCGAUACUGCCGUGCUUGAGGACUGGAGAGGAGACUGGAAUUUACGGUGUAGCGGUGAAAUGCGUAGAUAUCGUAAGGAAGACCAGUGGCGAAGGCGGGGUCUCUGGACAGUUCCUGACGCUGAGGCACGAAGGUCAGGGGAGCAAACGGG